UCAACGCUGGCGGCGUGCCUAACACAUGCAAGUCGAACGCGAAAGUGGAGCAAUCCAUGAGUAGAGUGGCAAACGGGUGAGUAACACGUGGGUGACCUGCCUUCGAGUGGGGGAUAACGUCCCGAAAGGGACGCUAAUACCGCAUAACAUGCUGUCUUUUAAGAGAUGGACAUCAAAGCCGGGGACCGCAAGGCCUGGCGCUUGAAGAGGGGCCCGCGCCUGAUUAGCUAGUUGGUGGGGUAAUGGCUCACCAAGGCAACGAUCAGUAUCCGGCCUGAGAGGGCGGACGGACACACUGGGACUGAGACACGGCCCAGACUCCUACGGGAGGCAGCAGUGGGGAAUUGUUCGCAAUGGGCGCAAGCCUGACGACGCAACGCCGCGUGGAGGAUGAAGAUCUUCGGGUCGUAAACUCCUUUCGAUCGAGACGAAUGGCCUUCGGGCUAAUAACCCGGAGGAGUGACGGUACCGAGAGAAGAAGCCCCGGCUAACUCCGCGC
rnacentral:rRNA from 1 species